rnacentral:lncRNA from 1 species
AAAGGCAAGUCAUCUAGGCGCCAUUUGAAGUUGCCUCACACUUCUGGUCGACGAGGAGCAGCUAGGACAAAAGAAGAGUUGGUAAUAUCAAUUAUUUAGUGUGUGUGUGUGUAUUAUAAAUUCUCAAUUCGUUCAUUUUUACUUAAAGAGUUUCCUUGAAUUAAACCGUAGAUUAAAGAAAGUUCUGAUGGUAAGGUCACAAGGACUCAAUUAUUUGUGGCUCUACAUACGAGGAAAGAUGGAAGCUGCCCAUCCUUGGAGACAAGACCUACACUUGUAAGAAUAAUCAUCUAAUUAUUGUUUUUCAUAUUCAUGACACAAUAGCAAUGGUGUUUUUGACUACUUGUUUUGCAGGAUGAAAUCAAAAGGCUUAUUAGCAUUGACCCCUAUCUUGGUGAAAGAGAUUUAAAUCAUGAUCCGGUGGCAAUUGUAUGUGGUGCCAUUAUUUUAUUACAUUAUCUCAAGUCGUAAUAUUAGACAUGUCCGGCUUACAUUGAAAUAAGUCACAUUUGAGUUCAGUGUAUAAGUAAUAAUUGGUUGUUUGUUCAGGUAUGUGGUCUUGAUGGAAGGGGUUCCAUUCGAGGAAUGGGUAGUGGUAUCUCGAAGACCGUUUUCCAUGCUUCAGCUC